CGUAGGGUGCAAGCAUUAAUCGGAAUUAUUGGGCGUAAAGGGCGCGUAGGCGGAUUGAUAAGUCAGAUGUGAAAUACCAAAGCUCAACUUUGGUGCUGCAUUUGAAACUAUCUAUCUAGAGGAUUGACGGAGAAAGCGGAAUUCCACGAGUAGCGGUGAAAUGCGUAGAUACGUGGAGGAACACCGGUGGCGAAAGCGGCUUUCUAGUUUAUACCUGACGCUGAGGCGCGAGAGCAAGGGGAGCAAACAGGAUUAGAUACCCUGGUAGUCCUUGCCGUAAACGAUGUGUACUUGAUGGAGCUAGGCUCAACCCUGGCUGUGUCGGAGCUAACGCGUUAAGUACACCGCCUGAGGAGUACGCUCGCAAGGGUG
rnacentral:rRNA from 1 species